rnacentral:rRNA from 1 species
GACGAACGCUGGCGGCGUGCUUAACACAUGCAAGUCGAACGGAAAGGCCCUGCUCUUGUGGGGUGCUCGAGUGGCGAACGGGUGAGUAACACGUGAGUAACCUGCACUUGACUUUGGGAUAAAUUCAGGAAACUGGGGCUAAUACAGGAUAGGAGAUCCUGCUGCAUGGUGGGGGUUGGAAAGUUUCGGCGGUUGGGGAUGGAAUCGCGGCUUAUGAGCUUGUUGGUGGGGUAGUGGCUUACCAAGGCUUUGAAGGGUAGCCGGCCUGAGAGGGUGACCGGCCACAUUGGGACUGAGGUACGGCCCAGUCUCCUACGGGAGGCAGCAGGGGGGAAUAUUGCACAAUGGGCGGAAGCCUGAUGCAGCAGCGCCGCGUGCGGGAUGACGGCCUUCGGGUUGUAAACCGCUUUCGCCUGUGACGAAGCGUUAGUGACGGUAAUGGGUCAAGAAGCACCGGCUAACUACGUG